rnacentral:rRNA from 1 species
UCCGGUGAUUAUAGCGAAGAGGUCCCACCCGUUCCCAUUCCGAACACGGCAGUUAAGCUCUUCAGCGCCGAUGAUACUUGGCGGGCGACUGCCCGGGAAAAUAGGUCGUUGCCGGAU